rnacentral:rRNA from 1 species
CAGACGAGGAGCUUGCUCCUCUGACGUUAGCGGCGGACGGGUGAGUAACACGUGGAUAACCUACCUAUAAGACUGGGAUAACUUCGGGAAACCGGAGCUAAUACCGGAUAAUAUAUUGAACCGCAUGGUUCAAUAGUGAAAGACGGUUUUGCUGUCACUUAUAGAUGGAUCCGCGCCGCAUUAGCUAGUUGGUAAGGUAACGGCUUACCAAGGCAACGAUGCGUAGCCGACCUGAGAGGGUGAUCGGCCACACUGGAACUGAGACACGGUCCAGACUCCUACGGGAGGCAGCAGUAGGGAAUCUUCCGCAAUGGGCGAAAGCCUGACGGAGCAACGCCGCGUGAGUGAUGAAGGUCUUCGGAUCGUAAAACUCUGUUAUUAGGGAAGAACAAAUGUGUAAGUAACUAUGCACGUCUUGACGGUACCUAAUCAGAAAGCCACGGCUAACUACGUGCCAGCAGCCGCGGUAAUACGUAGGUGGCAAGCGUUAUCCGGAAUUAUUGGGCGUAAAGCGCGCGUAGGCGGUUUUUUAAGUCUGAUGUGAAAGCCCACGGCUCAACCGUGGAGGGUCAUUGGAAACUGGAAAACUUGAGUGCAGAAGAGGAAAGUGGAAUUCCAUGUGUAGCGGUGAAAUGCGCAGAGAUAUGGAGGAACACCAGUGGCGAAGGCGACUUUCUGGUCUGUAACUGACGCUGAUGUGCGAAAGCGUGGGGGAUCAAACAGGAUUAGA